rnacentral:piRNA from 1 species
GAGAAACAAAGAUUCACGCAAAGCUGCAGG